rnacentral:rRNA from 1 species
UCAUUCCUUAGUACGAGAGGACCGGGAAUGACGUGCCUCUGGUGUUCCGGUUGUCAAGAGUAUUGGCAUCGCCGGGUAGCUAAGCACGGAAAAGAUAAGCGCUGAAAGCAUCUAAGCGCCAAGCUUCUCCCAAGAUGAGAUCUCCCUAAGGAUCCUGGAAGACCACCAGGUUGAUAGGCCAGAUGUGUAAGUGUCGCAAGGCAUUUAGCUUACUGGUACUAAUGAUCCAUUUGUGUUUGCCUA